UGGCGAACGGGUGAGUAACACGUGGGCAACCUGCCCAAAAGAGGGGGAUAACACUUGGAAACAGGUGCUAAUACCGCAUAACCAUAGUUACCGCAUGGUAACUAUGUAAAAGGUGGCUAUGCUACCGCUUUUGGAUGGGCCCGCGGCGCAUUAGCUAGUUGGUGGGGUAAAGGCUUACCAAGGCAAUGAUGCGUAGCCGAACUGAGAGGUUGGUCGGCCACAUUGGGACUGAGACACGGCCCAAACUCCUACGGAAGGCAGCAG
rnacentral:rRNA from 1 species